rnacentral:misc_RNA from 1 species
AACGCACAUUGCGCCCGCUAGUAUUCUGGCGGGCAUGCCUGUUCGAGCGUCAUUUCAACCAUCAAGCCCCCGGCUUGCGUUGGAGCCCUGCGGCUGCCGCAGGCUCCCAAAUCCAGUGGCGGGCUCGUCGUCGUACCGAGUGCAGUAAACAUCCUCGCUCAGGGAACGCGUCGGGUUCUUGCCGUGAAACCCCCCCACAUCAAGGUUGACCUCGGAUCAGGUAGGAAUACCCGCUGAACUUAA